CUGCAUUUUCUUCCCAUUCUUUAUUUUAGCUACCAUUCCUAGAAAGAAAUGGGCACUCAGUGACUCCCUUAAAAGAUCUUAGGUGAGAAUACAUCAUUGUCGUUGAACUACACAGAAAUGUGUCCAUAGGUGUCAAAGGUCAGUUCCCAGGAAACAGAGCCUCAGAUGGUGGUUCUUGUGUGAGACAUAAUAGAGGGAGGGCUCUCAGGAGAAACCUGUGAAGAAGCAAUUAGAGCAAGAUUGGGUAAAGGGAUGAGUUAGGCAAAGGCAUGCUUUUCAAAGUCCAGCCUGAGCCUGAUCCCUUAAGGAAUUCUAUAGAGUGAACAGGCACCAUGUCAUUGGUCCAGCCUAUUAGACAGGGAGCUAACAAUACCUGUCCUAGCUCAUCAGCCCAGUGAAAAGUAUCUGGGUGGGCCACCUAUACUAUCUGCUAUAGAAGCAGAUGACAUCAAUGGUUGCUAUUCAGGAAGGUGGGCUGUUUUUGAGAAAGACAAGCAAGGUUUUAAUCAGCCACUAGGUUUUAUCAUGGCUAAUCCAAAGACAAACACAUGGGACAAUACCAAAUUCAAAACCGAGGAAGAAUGAUCAAACACACUAAAAUAAUUCAAGAACAUCACAACAUAAUGCACCACCCUCUCUUUGCUUGCACCAGACCUCAAUUUACAUGUUUCUCAAUAUAACAUCAUCUACCUACUGAGUCAAGAAGAGUUUGAGGCUAGUACUAGAUGGUCAAGGUCUACUUUAAUUUAAGAAGAAUCAUUUCAACAGUAGCUUCUUGCAAGAUACAUCUAGGAAGG
rnacentral:lncRNA from 1 species